rnacentral:rRNA from 1 species
UACGAAGGGGGCUAGCGUUGCUCGGAAUCACUGGGCGUAAAGGGUGCGUAGGCGGGUUUUUAAGUCAGGGGUGAAAUCCUGGAGCUCAACUCCAGAACUGCCUUUGAUACUGAAGAUCUUGAGUCCGGGAGAGGUGAGUGGAACUGCGAGUGUAGAGGUGAAAUUCGUAGAUAUUCGCAAGAACACCAGUGGCGAAGGCGGCUCACUGGCCCGGUACUGACGCUGAGGCACGAAAGCGUGGGGGGCAAACAGGAGU